GGUUUAUCUAGGAUUGUAAUUAAUAAAAAUAAUUUUAAGUAUGCAUAUAAUUUAGUACUUUUUAAGGAAAUAUAGUUAAUUGUUUAUAGUGAAUUAGUACUGUGGGGGAAAUAUGAAAUAAAAUUUUGAAAUUAAUUUUAUUUUGUUAGAAGUAAAAUUUAUUUUGUACCUUGUGUCUCAGGGUUUAUUAAAAAUUAUCUAUUAAUUUUAGAGAUCCCGAAUUAGGAAGAGCGAGAUUUAUAUAUUAAUUAAUGUAGCAUAAUUAUUAAUAAUAUAAAUUUUUGUAAUGAAAUGUUAGUCGUUUUCUAUGAUAUCUGGUUUUCUAAGAAACAAAUUGAAUUUGUUCAUUAUUGUGUAAAUUUUUAAUUAUAAAAUUUAUUUAUAUAAUAUGUUUUAGAUUUUUUGGGAUAAGCUAAGGAAUUAAAUUAUUAAAAUUGGUGAUAAUCAUUUAUUUUAAUAGGCUUUAAAGUAGCUUUUUAUAUAAAAUUGUUAUAAAUUAAUUUUAUGAAAAUAUGAUUUUAAAUUUAUUUAAUUAUUUUAUUAGAAUUAUGUAUAUAAUAGAAAAAUAUUUGAAAAUAUGAUAAAAUGAGUAUAAUUAUAAAAAUUAGGUUGUUUUAAGUUAAGAUAAUUAUUUGAUAAUUAGGCUAAAGGAAUUAGGCAAAUUAUUUAUUCAUAUGUUUAUCAAAAACAUUUCUUUUUGAUUUUAUAAAAAGUAGGGCCUGCCCACUGAUUUUUGAAGGGCCGCGGUACUUUGACCGUGCAAAGGUAGCAAAAUCAUUAGUCUUUUAAUUGAGGGCUGGAAUGAAUGGUUUAAUGAAAUAAAUACUGUCUCUAGCAUAAAGUUUUGAAAUUAACUUUUUAGUAAGAAGGCUAAAAUAUUGAUAUAGGACGAGAAGACCCUAUAGAGUUUUAUUUAAUAUAUUUUAUAUUAUUAUUAGAUGUCAUGGAUAGAUUAGAAUUAUAUUAAAUUUUGUUGGGGUGACAUGAAGAAUUAAUAAACUCUUUAUAUUUAUUAACAUUAAUUAGUGGUUAAUUGAUCCAUUAUUAUUGAUUAAAAGAUUAAAUUACCUUAGGGAUAACAGCGUAAUUUUUUUUGAGAGUUCUUAUCAAUAGAAAAGAUUGCGACCUCGAUGUUGGAUUAAGAAUAUUUUUAGGUGCAGCAGCUUAAUAAAUAAGUCUGUUCGACUUUUAAAUUCUUACAUGAUCUGAGUUCAGACCGGCGUGAGCCAGGUCGGUUUCUAUCCUUAUUUAAAUAUAAAAUCUUAGUACGAGAGGACCUGGUUUUAGAAAUAAUUUGAUGAAUUUUUGAAUUCUACUAAACUAAUUUGGCAGAUAAGUGCUU
rnacentral:rRNA from 1 species